rnacentral:rRNA from 1 species
UAAGGAAUAUUGGUCAAUGGACGCAAGUCUGAACCAGCCAUGCCGCGUGAAGGAUGAAGGUCCUCUGGAUUGUAAACUUCUUUUAUCUGGGACGAAAACGGGAUUUUUAUCUCAAUUGACGGUACCAGAGGAAUAAGCACCGGCUAACUCCGUGCCAGCAGCCGCGGUAAUACGGAGGGUGCGAGCGUUAUCCGGAUUUACUGGGUUUAAAGGGUGCGUAGGCGGGAUAAAAAGUCAGUGGUGAAAUCCUACAGCUUAACUGUAGAACUGCCUUUGAUACUUUUAUUCUUGAGUUCGGGAGAGAGAGACGGAAUUCCAGGUGUAGUGGUGAAAUACGUAGAUAUCUGGAAGAACACCAGUUGCGAAGGCGGUCUCUUGGUCCGACACUGACGCUGAGGCGCGAAAGCGUGGGGAGCAAACA